rnacentral:rRNA from 1 species
GACGAACGCUGGCGGCGUGCCUAAUACAUGCAAGUCGAGCGCAGGAAGUCAUCCGACCCCUUCGGGGGGACGUUGACGGAAUGAGCGGCGGACGGGUGAGUAACACGUAAAGAACCUGCCCUCAGGUCUGGGAUAACCACGAGAAAUCGGGGCUAAUACCGGAUGGGUCAUCGGACCGCAUGGUCCGAGGAUGAAAGGCGCUCCGGCGUCGCCUGGGGAUGGCUUUGCGGUGCAUUAGCUAGUUGGUGGGGUAACGGCCCACCAAGGCGACGAUGCAUAGCCGACCUGAGAGGGUGAUCGGCCACACUGGGACUGAGACACGGCCCAGACUCCUACGGGAGGCAGCAGUAGGGAAUCUUCCACAAUGGACGAAAGUCUGAUGGAGCAACGCCGCGUGAACGAUGAAGGCCCUCGGGUCGUAAAGUUCUGUUGUAAGGGAAGAACAAGUGCCGCAGGCAAUGGCGGCACCUUGACGGUACCUUGCGAGAAAGCCACGGCUAACUACGUG